UACGUAGGGUGCGAGCGUUGUCCGGAAUUAUUGGGCGUAAAGAGCUCGUAGGCGGUCUGUCGCGUCUGCUGUGAAAACUCAGGGCUUAACCCUGAGCUUGCAGUGGGUACGGGCAGACUAGAGUGCGGUAGGGGAGACUGGAAUUCCUGGUGUAGCGGUGAAAUGCGCAGAUAUCAGGAAGAACACCCGUGGCUAAGGCGGUUCUCUAGUACGGUACUGACGCUGAGACGCGAAAGCGUGGAGAGCGAACAGG
rnacentral:rRNA from 1 species